AUGAUGAUUCGCGAGCUUCUCCUGGAUCGAAAGGUCUAGGAAACCUCUUAAAUUUCAUCGUGAUGGGGAUAGAUUAUUGCAAUUAUUGAUCUUCAACGAGGAAUACCUAGUAAGCGCGAGUCAUCAGCUCGCGCUGAUUACGUCCCUGCCCUUUGUACACACCGCCCGUCGCUCCUACCGAUUGAAUGAUCCGGUGAAGUUUUCGGAUUGCGGCGAUGCUGACGGUUCGCCGUUGGUGACGUUGUGAGAAGUUCAUUAAACCUUAUCAUUUAGAGGAAGGAGAAGUCGUAACAAGGUUUUCGAAUGGUCCUUCUCGCCCGAAAAGCGGGUUCGAGACGCACGGAAGCCUAAGCACAACCGUUGGAGACGACGGUGAGUGCUAGUGUCGGCCGGAAACGGCUAGGUGACGCGACGUCAUCAAAUUGCGGGGAGGCCGUCGCCUCGAUGGUCGAAGGGUACCAAGCGUGGAGGCAAGGUGCAUACCCCCACAACUAACACUCGCGACCCUGUGGUUGCUGGGGGGGCCUGCCUAGCGUGGCCGAGCUAAUGCCCUCGGGUACGGUAAUAACCCCUUCGGAUGUCGAGAGCACUCAAAAAAGACGACGAACCCGCAGCGAAAACCCCGUGGGGGUCUGUCCACAGACUAUACGGUGACGGGUCGCUUCGGCGGCUAAUGAUAUAGUCGGUCCUCUCUCUCGGGAGAGGUUGGUUGGGAAGGGGGGUUGGUUGCCGAGAUUGGGUUUUGGUUCCGGCGUUGGAAAAUCGGAUGGUGGGUUUUUAAGGGGGGUUGGGUUGUUAAAUCCGAAGGUAGGCAAUACACGCUUCCGCACGUGAAUUCACCGUUCCGUAGGUGAACCUGCGGAAGGAUCAUUG
rnacentral:rRNA from 1 species